rnacentral:lncRNA from 1 species
CGGGGGCGUUUCCUGUUGCUGUGGCGGCGGCUCCCGGGACCGAGAGGGAACCGGCGGCUCCCCGGGGAGUCCGAUUGUGCAGUGAAUGUCCACAAGAACUGCAAGAAUUUGCUGACUGAAUGCAGCAGCAGCAGACCCAAGGUGGGCUUUAACAUUUAUUCUUUUAUAAUAACAAUUAUUAUUUGACAUGAUAAGUUCAAUUUAUUUCAGUGGUUUCAUUUACAUCAGUACAGGAUCUUGCCCUACAUCUUUGAGGCAUUGA